CUUUAAAAAUUUUUAACCAUUGUUCAAUAAAUGCAACAUGUAGCAGAGUUCUUUAAAAAAAUAAGAGGGUUGGAGAUAGUUCGACCAUAUAGCUAUAAUUUACUGGCAAGAUUCGGUGGGAUGAACUUAAACACUUAGCUUCACUUGUUCUGAACUUUGGAUUUAUACAAAGCAGGUGGAAGAGUUUAAAAAUCCUGCAAUUAUAUAUCAUAUUUCUGUAUACGGUGUUGAGGUAGCAGGGAUCCAGUAUCCUUAUAUGCUUUGUGCGUGAGCUGUGGAAUGAGGAGUUGCCCUAUAACUAAUCCUACGCACGAAGUACUAAAUAUAAAUUUAUCAGAUUACAGCUGCCACGUUUAGUGUAUGUAAACAUUAAGGUGGGGGGCAUACCAUGUGCGCCUUUACUCGAAUAUGUUGAGUAUAUAAAGCUGGAAGAAUUCUUAAAAACAUAUUAAAGUUAUUUGUGAUCAGACGGAAAAGGAUUUAACACAAAUGCACGAAAGUUAAGUACAAAGAUGUCAAAUACAUCGAGUUACAUCUUCCUUCUUGUCGCUACUAUUGCAAUAACCAUGGUGAUGACGUCAACUUAUGAUUUUAAGACGGUUUGUGACUAUACAAACAACCCAAGUUGCUCAACGUGUUGUCUUAGAGCAUCCAGACAGUGCCGAAGGAUUUGUUAUCAGCACAAAAGAAGAUGUGAUUGCACUGUAAGCAACAGCAGUCAAGACUACAAGGCCUUUUUCCGUAGUAAGUUCUGUCAUAAAAUAUGUCCUGCUGUUAAAAGCCGUGACUACGACAAUGAUGUGUCUUAUUUUGAAAAAAAGACUCGCGAAGACAAACUUGGGUGGGACAAAAACGACGCAACCGUCAUUGACUUUUAAACAUUGAAAGUGUUUUAAUUUAGGCUCUAUAUGGUCGAUACAUGACUUGAACUUUAAAGUAGAUAUAUUAGCUAUAAUAAAUUGUAACUGUUAUGAUUUAAUUUAUCAUCAUUGUAUAAAGUUUUAAAGGAUAAUAAUAGCAUUCAUUCAAGUAAAAUAAACAUGCAUUCAUUGAA